AUUGAACGUUGGCGGCGUGGAUUAGGCAUGCAAGUCGUACGAGAAUCGUAGCAAUACGAGGAAAGUGGCGGAAGGGAGAGGAUUACGUGGGAAUCUACCCUCAGAACUGGGAUAGCGGCGGGAAACUGCCGGUAAUACCAGAUAAUGUCUGUGGACCAAAGGUGUGAUUCCGUCUGGGGAUGAGCCCACGUCCUAUUAGCUAGUUGGCAGGGUAAUGGCCUACCAAGGCAAUGAUGGGUAGCGGGUGUGAGAGCAUGACCCGCCUCACUGGGACUGAGAACUGCCCAGACACCUACGGGUGGCUGCAGUCGAGAAUCUUCGGCAAUGAGCGCAAGCUUGACCGAGCGACGCCGCGUGCGGGAUGAAGGCCUUCGGGUUGUAAACCGCUGUCGUAGGGGAGCAAGAGAUGAGGGUACUCCCUCUGAUUUGAGCGAUCCUAGGAGGAAGGACGGGCUAAGUUCGUGCCAGCCGCCGCAGUAAAAC
rnacentral:rRNA from 1 species